GAUGCAUUUAGCCAUUUCAACUAGAAGAGAGCCACAAUUAUGAAUAAUUUAUACAGUAUUUUUAAACACAAGCAUCUAACUGGGGCAGGGUUGAACAGAAAAACAAGUCCUUCAUUAACCUGUUGCUUAAAACUGAUUCAGCACAUUUAGGUCUAAACAUCAAAGUAAUGAAUAAAAUGGCUAGGGGUGAACCUUGUGAGAUUUAUUUCUGGCGGUUUAAAUGCUGUUUAAUGCAGAAAAUGAAGUAAACCUUAUAAAAAAAAUAAAAUGAAUAAAAAACACUUCAACAUACUCCAUUCAUAUUCUGUCUGUUAGAAAACUAGGAGUCUGUAUAAUAAUCAGAAACAUCAGCUUUUGGCGUUUUGUACUUCCUUCAGUCUGCAAUAAUGACGACCACACACACUUUAUACAUUUGACCUUUUUAUUGUAGGAUUCACACAUAAUAAAUUCACAUUUAUUUCAGCAAUUUAGCAAACAUCAUCAGAGAAAUAAAAGGUACUGUACACUUCAAUACACUCGAAUUGCUGUAGAGCACCAGACUUCCUGAAUGUCCCUCCACCCAUCAGAGAGAACCUCUCCUGUUUCACACCAGCACACACUCGUAGCUUCACUCCUCCCCCUGACUGACUGACAUUAACAUGUUAUUAAUAUGCAAACAGGUGGAAGCACGGAUACGUACAGUUCUCUCUCACUACAGGGACAUACUGGAGUUCUUCUACAAUUUAAAGAUUUUACAGAUGUUCAUAUGAUCUAUGUGUAGGCACGUCUGAAAGCUGACAGGCUACAGAUUAUCUCCAGCUUUUAGUCAUGCUCGUAUAUUAAAAUCCCGUCAUGAUGUUACGUGAGAAAGAAGAUACAAGGGAGCCUGACCAUGGUGGAGCUCGCCAGCGAUUCUCACGUCCCCAGGGGGUUAACACUCGUUCCAUAAAAAGCAGGUAUUCAUAUUUCAUUCAUAUUUAUUGUAAUAAACACAUUCCAUGCAAAUGAACAUUCCAGGUAUUAAAGAGUUUGGUGUGCGAACUGAAGUCAAUCUCCUCACCGUUUCUUUCAUUCGUAACAUUACUGUUUAACAGGUAAGAGCUAGUAAUGCCGCGCAUGCGCAGUACAGACCGUGGCGCCGCCGCGAGGCGAAAUAAAACGAGCACGUGCGUAGGACAGACGGAGGGCGCCGCCGCGAGGCGAAAUAAAACGCGCACGUGCGUAAUGCAGACGGUAGGCGGCGCCGCGAGGCGAAAUAAGACGAGCGCGUGCGUAGUACAACUCCAGGUGUGUACGCGGAUCAGGUAGCGACCGUCGACGCAGAUCUAUUCUACACUAAAACUCAUUUUCCGUUCCUUUACCUGGUACGGAAACGAAACUGCGUCAGAGUACGGAACCCAGAAGAAGGAAACAUUCAGCCCUCUAGCAUGAAGUAUGAGGAGCAGAAAGUAUUUAGUAGACCAUGUCUUGUCUGCAUGAUGUUUUCCCAAGGAGCGGAAUGGGGCGCGACCAACAAUAGUUGGUGAAAUUUGCCAGCUCUUUCUAGCUCUCUCUGUUUUCCUAGGGCCCAGGAGGACCAAAAAAGUUGGAAUGGAACUGCAGGAGGUGUGAGGUGUUACGACCCCCAGCACUCUCUCCGGUCCUGAUAUCAGUGCAGUAGCAGUCUGGGUGGCCAAUCAGUUUAGACCUACAUGUGGAGGUGUUUGGGUAUAACGGUGGGGGGGACGCUUCCUCCCUCCCUCUCUCUCUCUCUCUCUCUCUCUCUCGCACGCUUACACACGCGCAUGUGCACACUGACACUCACUCAGUCAGACAUCCUCAUACUCCCUCAUUAGACAUCCUCAAGGUGACGAUCUAUAUUUACAUUUAUAAUAAACAUAAACUGUUUGCAAAGAC